UCGCGGCCUAUCAGCUUGUUGGUGGGGUAAUGGCCUACCAAGGCGACGACGGGUAGCCGGCCUGAGAGGGUGACCGGCCACACUGGGACUGAGACACGGCCCAGACUCCUACGGGAGGCAGCAGUGGGGAAUAUUGCACAAUGGGCGCAAGCCUGAUGCAGCGACGCCGCGUGAGGGAUGACGGCCUUCGGGUUGUAAACCUCUUUCAGUAGGGAAGAAGCGAAAGUGACGGUACCUGCAGAAGAAGCGCCGGCUAACUACGUGCCAGCAGCCGCGGUAAUACGUAGGGCGCGAGCGUUAUCCGGAAUUAUUGGGCGUAAAGAGCUCGUAGGCGGUUUGUCGCGUCUGCCGUGAAAGUCCGGGGCUUAACCCCGGAUCUGCGGUGGGUACGGGCAGACUAGAGUGCAGUAGGGGAGACUGGAAUUCCUGGUGUAGCGGUGAAAUGCGCAGAUAUCAGGAGGAACACCGAUGGCGAAGGCAGGUCUCUGGGCUGUUACUGACGCUGAGGAGCGAAAGCAUGGGGAGCGAACAGGAUUAGAUACCCUGGUAGUCCAUGCCGUAAACGUUGGGCACUAGGUGUGGGGGACAUUCCACGUUUUCCGCGCCGCAGCUAACGCAUUAAGUGCCCCGCCUG
rnacentral:rRNA from 1 species